GAUCUCUUGAGCUAAAGAGAAGAUUUGAGGUUUUUGAAGUGUUCUUGAGCAAAGAGGUUGUACUAGAAACUCGCGUCAUCACAUGCCAAAUCUUCCUCGUAUUAAGGGUGAUCAUUGUAUACAAUUAGGAUAUUGUUAAAUCUGAUGCGGCAAGGCAAGACUAUGAAAGGUAGUGGAUAUUCUUUGGAGGAGUAUGCAAAACAAACCUAAUCGAUGAAGAAUGCAAAGUCUGACAUUUGAUGCAUUGAUUGUAGGAAUUUUUUGAAAGUGAAAUGAAAACAAUGACUUCUUAUUUAUGGCUGUAAGACUCUUUGAAAGUGAAAUGCAAACAAUGAAUUUUUUAUUAUGA